rnacentral:rRNA from 1 species
UGGGGAAUAUUGCACAAUGGACGGAAGUCUGAUGCAGCAACGCCGCGUGCGGGAUGACGGCCUUCGGGUUGUAAACCGCUUUUUCUCAUGACGAAGUUUUUUGACGGUAGUGGGGGAAGAAGCACCGGCUAACUACGUGCCAGCAGCCGCGGUGAUACGUAGGGUGCGAGCGUUGUCCGGAAUUAUUGGGCGUAAAGAGCUUGUAGGCGGUUUGUCGCGUCGAUAGUGCAAACUCAGUGCUUAACGCUGAGCCUGCUGUUGAUACGGGCAGACUAGAGGAAGGAAGGGGAGAAUGGAAUUCCCGGUGGAGCGGUGGAAUGCGCAGAUAUCGGGGGGAACACCGGUGGCGAAGGCGGUUCUCUGGGCCUUUCCUGACGCUGAGAAGCGAAAGCGUGGGGAGCGAACAGG